GGUUAACUGCAUGUGGAAAAGGUCAAAGCGAUAGUUAUAGAAAGCCUGGGAGAAUUGUAAGACACCGCGGAAACUUGGCCCGCACGUGGAAAAGGUCAAAACUUGAAUUAUUGAAAGCCUGGGGGAGUUGUAAGACAACGCGGUAGCUUGCGCCGCAAUUUGCGGUGCUUAUAAGUACGGCACAAAAGUGGACGUAUGUAAAUACGUGUCGGGUCACCCAAUUUUAAGAGGCUUCAAGUUUUAUGACGGUACGUGCGAACAAGACGUCAGUAUGUGUUGUAUUUCCCUGUCAGACCAAUUAACUUAGGGCCCCCAAGUGGGUCACUAGGGGUGGCUCGACGACGACAAUUCGGAUUCGCGAUUCUGACUAAAAAAAUUUAAGGACUAGUGGUAUUAGGGACCGCCUUCGGGGAAGGUGGCAGAUCCAGAUCCUGACUCUAGAUUACUUGGUGGACGGGGCCAUUAUGUUGAGACCACG